CUAAGUUGUGCUGUCUGUCGGCCUCAUCAAGCGUUUCCCCAUAGAGAUUAGGUUGGAAGUACUACAGUAAUACUGUUUAUACAAUAUAGUAUUUAGCCUCAUUCUGUGGUUGUCCCCCCUGUCUGUCAGCUGCCUAAUGGGGUGACCCAGAGCCAGGCUGUGUACCAGGACCGCUUCGGGAAACUCCAGGAGCACCUCCAUCCGCUGGCCCUGCUCCUCCGCAAGCUCCGCCUCCUCUAUGAGCGCAGUGUGGAGAUGACCUCUGACCUGCAGGAAGAACUCCCAAGAGCUGGUGCCAUAUGUAGGAGAGGAGAUGGAGCCCUGUGAGAGUGGAGCCCUGCAGUCCAGCUGUAAACCCAGAGAGACAAGAAGUGCUGGAGAAGGUAAGGCAGAAGAACUAGGAGAUUAAGAUUCUGGACCAGAUGAACUUGCUAUGGGAUGUCAAUGCCUUGCUGACACUCAGGAAAUAACAUCACAGAUGACCUCAACCCCUCCCGCCAACCCUCUCUCACUGCACUUCACAAUGCCCUCCCACUAGGGGACAGGAGUUUUCCUGACCCAGAAAACUCUAGGCCCUAGUACUUCCAACCAUUGUUGUUCUGGUGUGAGAUAGAUCACCCAAAACUUAUACCUUUACAGUGUGGUGCUUUCAGAGACAUUGAAUGAACUGAGUUAACUUUUAAAAAGUUUUUGUUGAAUUUUUACCCCGUUUUCACGGUAUCCAAUUGUUAGUAGCUACUAUCUUGUCUCAUUACUACAACUCCGGUACGGGCUCGGGAGAGAC